rnacentral:rRNA from 1 species
GGGUCAGUAGGUUGGUCGUGCCACCGGUACGUACUGGUCUCACUGAUUCCUCCUUCCUGAAGAACCGUAAUGCCAUUAAUUUGGUGUUGCGGGGAAACAGGACUGUUACUUUGAGAAAAUUAGAGUGAUUAAAGCAAGCUAACGCUUGAAUACAUUAGCAUGGAAUAAUGAAAUAGGACGAUCGAUCCUAUUUUGUUGGUUUCUAGGAUUGACGUA